GCGAGGUGGUUGAGAGGUUCAAAAGCUCGAACAAAUUUCCAAAUUCCUCCGAUUGUUCCUCUGCCUACUUCACCAACAUCGACGUCAUCAUCUUCAAAUUCGUCUCGUGAAAUGAAAAUGAAAAUGAAAAUGAAAAAUCCCAUGUUCUUGAAGGAAUUGCUGCUGUUGUUGGAGAACAUGUUCUUUUCGGUUACAAUAACAAUGAAAACAAGAAUGAUGAUCCAAAUUCAGCAGUUUCAAUUCUGAAACGCACGUGUCCUGCAGAAAAGAGGAAUAAUGUUCCAUCAGUGGAGAAGAGUUACAGAGGAGUGAGAAAUAGGCCAUGGGGGAGAUGGUCAGCGGAGAUUCGCGACCGUAUAGGGCGGUGCAGACACUGGUUGGGUACAUUCGACACGCCGGAGGAGGCGGCGCGUGCGUACGACGCGGCGGCGAGGUGGUUGAGAGGUUCAAAAGCUCGAACAAAUUUCCAAAUUCCUCCGAUUGUUCCUCUGCCUACUUCACCAACAUCGACGUCAUCAUCUUCAAAUUCGUCUCGUGAAAUGAAAAUGAAAAUGAAAAUGAAAAAUGGUGGCGCUGUUGCUAAUAAUCAAAGAAAAUGCUCAGUGGUAACUUCAACUGCGCAUUUAUUUAGCUCUAAUGAAUUUAACAAAAAAGUUAGUGUUACUGUGGAGCUUGAUCUCAAGCUCGGAUUCGGGAGGAAGUUGGGUGGGUAUUGGGUUUAUGGGGCGGGUAGUUGGUUUAUGGGUUAAAAAGAAAGGUCAAACGGGUAGUUGAUUAGAUUUAAGACACGUGUAAAAAAUGAGGGGGCCGUUAGUGCGAGGGGUAUGUGUGUACCUAUAAUUGGAC
rnacentral:lncRNA from 1 species